rnacentral:rRNA from 1 species
AUGCUCUUAGUUUUAGGAUUGGAGGAAUGGCCCGGUUCUCUGCAAAAUCAAACAUGUUUGGCCACUUUUCUUCAUGAAUUUGUUGACGGUGUUAUGUUUCUACGAUGUACCACCGAGUUGCUCCUCAACCCUGACUUUUCUGCAUACCUCUGUUUACAUUCUCAACUGGAUGCACAAGUAUGCAGCCUUGUUGAUUCUAAAGUAAAAUUAAUAAGAAUUACAGAUACGUUUUCUGCUGUUUCUAGUUUGCCGUCUGCACAGAACAAAUGUUUUUUCCUUCAUAUAAACCACCGACCACCAUGUGCCUGA